rnacentral:rRNA from 1 species
GAUGAACGCUGGCGGCGUGCCUAAUACAUGCAAGUCGAGCGAACAGACGAGCAUCUUUCUCUUCUGCUGUUAGCGACGGACGGGUGAGUAACACGUGGAUAACCUACCUAUAUGACUGGGAUAACUACGGGAAACCGGGGCUAAUACCGACUAAUAUCUUGUACCGCAUGGUUCCAUAACGCAAGGCGGUUUUGCUGUCUCUUAUAUAUGCAUCCGUGCCGCUUUAUCUAGUUGGUAAGGUAACGUCUUACCAAGGCAAGAAUGCAUGGCCGACCGGAGGGGGUGAUCGACCACACUGAAAGGGAGACACGGUCCGAACACAUACGGGAGGCAGGAGGAGGGAAUGUACCGCAAUGGACGAAGGCCUGACGGAGCAACGCCGGGUGAGUGAUGAAGGUCUUCGGUUGGUAAAACACUGUUAUUAGGGAAGAAAAAAUCUGGAGGUAACUGUGCACGUCUGGACGGAACCUAAGAAGAAGGCCAGGGCAACCUAGGU